CAAGGAAUUUUGCGCAAUGGGCGAAAGCCUGACGCAGCAACGCCGCGUGGGGGAUGAAGGCUCUCGGGUCGUAAACCCCUUUUGCUGGGGAAGUAACUGACGGUACCCAGCGAAUAAGCCACGGCUAACUACGUGCCAGCAGCCGCGGUAAUACGUAGGUGGCGAGCGUUGUCCGGAUUUACUGGGCGUAAAGCGCGCGCAGGUGGCCUGCCAAGUCUGGGGUGAAAUCUCUCGGCUCAACCGAGAGGGGUCUCUGGAUACUGGCAAGCUUGAGGAGAGCAGAGGAGAGUGGAAUACCCGGUGUAGCGGUGAUAUGCGUAGAUAUCGGGUGGAACACCAGUGGCGAAGGCGACUCUCUGGGCUCUUCCUGACGCUCAGGCGCGAAAGCGUGGGGAGCAAACCGGAUUAGAUACCCGGGUAGUCCACGCUGUAAACGUUGGGUACUAGGUGUGAGAGGUAUUGACCCCUUUCGUGCCGUAGCUAACGCGAUAAGUACCCCGCU
rnacentral:rRNA from 1 species